rnacentral:lncRNA from 1 species
AAAAUGCAGGGAUGACACAUCCGUUUCAAGAGAAAAAAAUGUGAGCAAUUAUGAUUCCUGAUCUCACUGAGUUCGUGCAAGCUGUACAGAGAAACUCCACAUAAAACUUGUAGUCGAGUAGUUGUAGUGCAACCUUCAUUGUUUGGCCGACGGCUAUAAUAUUAUUAUGAAAGACAAUGAUCACCCUACAAAAUUAUCUUUCCUGAUUAUUUGUCACAGUACUAUAGCUAAUCAUCCUAAAAGUUCUUUUCAAAAUUCAGGUUGACUCUCAAACAUCCACAAUGAAAACUCAGGUUGACAUUGAAACUUGUACUCAAUUUUCUUGCUUACAGCAGCAAGCAUCAGGGGCAUCAUGAGAUUCAAUAAGAACAGCUUUGGCUUCGACCUAUUUGAUCAAACAGAGUAAAUCAUGUCACUACCAGGAUCAGACUUCAUGAGUUUAUAAUGGCAUCCCACACUGUACUUUUCUGAAUCAUGUGUAUGCAAGGAAUCUCUUAAAUGCUCUCCCUCCGAUCCAAAAUAAGUGUCGUGGUUUUUGAACUAAAACAACGACACUUAAUUUUGAUCGGAAGGAGUAUAAUACACAGGUCCAGAAUAGGCUGAUGCCACAUUACUCACCCUCACUGCACACUGGACACCGGCUCAUGUCUGAGUUAUCCCAUGAUCUCAUAGGUAUGCAACAGUCUAGGCAGAAAAUAUAGUUUGAAUUGGAUGUCAGGGUGAUGUAAAAAAUGCAGACCGUUUUUGUAUGUCUACAAAAAUAUGUUCAAUUCAUUUUUUUACUGAAACCUUGACUGAGCAAAGUGAAACAACAUCAUAUAAUGUGGUAGCCAAAUCUACACAAGAUGUAGCCUGCAGAUAUGGUACCAUGAACUGCACAAACAAAACAGACUGAACGGUUCAAAAAUUGCAUCAAAACUGUUUCACAAUUAACAUAUUCAGCAAAGGCUAAACAUCCUUGACUUACAAACCAAAAAAUGGAACAAAAAUGCUGUGUUGCCUACACCUUUAUCAACUAAACUGCUUACUCAUUUGUUCACCACAUAGAAGCAGGUAAUAAUCUCCUACAAGAGUACACCUUUAUCAACUAUCUCCUACUCAUACAUCAAGCUUUCAAAGUAUAUCUAAUUUUCAGGUCUGGACAGAUUCAACCAACUGAGAGCAUAUCACCCUUUUUGGUUCAAAUUAAAUGGCCCAAUCUUCCAUCACAUUUACAUCGGGCUUAGAGUUUAGAACAGACUUACAGUUGGAUAAUGCAAUACAACGAUACCUGUAGAAUAAUAGUGCAAUACCUGUAGUUAAAUCCAUCAGUUUUGGCACAUUCGUAGAAACACGUUUCUCUGCUGCUCUGCAAUCAUUUGUUAACACACAUUUUGUCAGUAUGAGCAACCAACAUCAGCUAAAAGGAACCAUACAAAUGAAGGUACCACAACUCUCUAAUGUAAACAGUUCAUAGCAGAAUACGCACAGCGCCAUGAGCAGAUGUUGAAAGCGCAAGAUCUUAUACAGAAGGUUUUAACCGUGUAAUGUUGAAAAGAAUAAGAUAUUAACAGUAUGUUGUAGAAAGAACAAUAUGCCGCAGAAUAAUGCCGUAAACUUAAAUACUAAACUUUUAAAAAAAUCAUUAGAAAGAACAGCACGCCGUAGAAAAAUAAUGCAAUACAUAUAAACAACCUAGCCACUCCAACUUAAAAAGAAUCAAGUUCCAACUGCACAACUCAUAUGACCAUUACAGAACCACUUUUCAGUACCACCAUUCUGGCCUUACCGUUACAUGGCAACCAAACUAAUCCUCAUUUAUUUUAGAAGAAACCAACUAUUCUACUGAUCCUUCGUAGGCACAACUCAAUUAACCGGUUGAUUAGCCAAGCAUUUUGUGCCUGAUGCAAUCUUCAAGUAUAUACUGUAACCAACUUAUUUGUUGAUACUAAGAGAUGUAAAAAGAAGCUAGAGUAGCCAAGGUUUAGAUGUUGUACUAGUCAGCAAAUCUGCACUGCUCUGCUUGGAAGAGCGUCAGAUGGAUCCAGCCAUCAUUGGCCAGAGACGCGCCAAAGUAGAACCUUACACAUUACAACCCUUUUUCAUCUCCUCUCACCUCCUCGGAUAUCAAAAAUAUUGCGUAUUUAAAUUUCUUCUUUAGCAAUGUAAAGCAUAAGGAAAGCUCGAUGAGAAUUUAAUAACUUCCCAGAAAUAAAUAAGUGACAACUAAACGAGGCACAUAGCCAAGGCAAAGACUUCAUGAUUUGUAUGCCUUCUUUUCACUAACGGUGAUGCUUACUUUAGUGUAGCCCGAGUGAAAAAGAAAAUAAACUUGUGCCUUAUCGAUCAAAAUGUCACUACCUAGACUAAUGGUCCAAACAAAAUCACCUCUAUGGACAAAAGAACCAAUGGAUAAUUGGCUGUAAUGUGUAUGAUGAAUCAUGCAUAUCUGGCUCUAUAUUAGCAUGUCAGGGAAAAAAUCAAGAGAUUAAGCCAAUAUAUCAGGGGACAAGAUGCAUCUUUCACAUCUCAGAUAAAAAACAUCACCAGUAAAAUGUUUGUCGUUGGUUCAGUUUUCCUGACUUACCCAAGUGCUUGUAUAGUUGAAAAAUAUAUCAUACCUGAAUACAAUGAAACAGCAAGAAGCAAACAGUAAGAAACUUGAAAUGGUGUAGCAAGUACUACAGCAAACCGAAUAGGAACAGACCAAAUAUAAACAAAGUGCCAUGCCCUUUUCCUUAUGGUGGUGUUCCUUAGUGUAACAUACAAACCAACCACGUCACCUAUUUUUGUGCUACAUAUAGACUGAAACCAAGCAAGAUAAUGUAACCUGACAAGAAGUAUAGUAUAGCCGAUUUAGAAAUUGAGAACUGGCCAUUCCAAACAAAAACAACAUUGCUGAUGCUGCAAAAAUGGAUAAUCCAGCUCCAAAUAGUGAUGCCUCCAUCAAUCAAAUCCCUAGGAACUUUCCUGCAGAUAGCAACACAAAAAAACAAAUCUCAGAACACAGUACCACUCAGUAGAAAUCCAAAAACUGCAUUGGGCAAUGCCAUCAAAAAAGUCACCCCACCGACCAUCAUUACACCAUACUGUAAAUUUUGCAUUUUCAGUGUUACGAUCGCUCAUAUAUAUAUCAUCUACACUGCAGUUCUCCAGAAAUAGACCGAGUUAACUAUUCUGUUCUACAAAAAUAUCUAAAUCACCACUGCCGAGUAUCCACGCUCGAACUAAAACAUCAAUUCAUAUCUAAACCCCAAAUAGAGAUAGUAAUCCGACGAAACCAAAACACCGCAUUCACCAAAUAUGGAGAUCUGAAGAUCGGAAGGGAGGCGAAUAUUUCCUCUUAGGAGUUUCAUACCUCUAGUUCUUCUGGUUCAUAGAUGUAAUGUGACUUUCGGGAUGUGAGAAAUAAGGAAUUAAAAUGCAUUAUGUGCAAGGCAGUACAACUCCUCUCCUCUAAUUAUAAUAUGGAUAUACUGCAUAACAAAGGAAACCUUAUUUAGAGCUACAGCUAGGAAAUUAAAACUCCAAUUGACCACUGAACCUUACAACAUAGGCCUUAAGUACAGGGAGACAGAUAAAUAAUGGAUCUAUUAAGAUGGUUCAUGUACAAUUAGUUGAAUAUAUAGUAACAUAAACGCCAAGUGCAACUGCGCAAGCUUUUAUCUACCAAUCACAAAAAUACA